rnacentral:rRNA from 1 species
GUAGGUGGCAAGCGUUGUCCGGAAUUAUUGGGCGUAAAGCGCGCGCAGGCGGUUCGUUUAAGUCUGAUGUGAAAGCCCACGGGCUCAACCGUGAGGGUCAUUGGAAACUGGAGAACUUGAGUACAGAAGAGGAAAGCGGAAUUCCACGUGUAGCGGUGAAAUGCGUAGAGAUGUGGAGGAACACCAGUGGCGAAGGCGGCUUUCUGGUCUGUAACUGACGCUGAGGCGCGAAAGCGUGGGGAGCAAACAGGAUUAGAUACCCUGGUAGUCCACGCCGUAAACGAUGAGUGCUAGUGUUAGGGGGGUUUCCGCCCCUUAGUGCUGCAGCUAACGCAUUAAGCACUCCGCCUGGGGAGUACGGCCGCAAGGCUGA